rnacentral:rRNA from 1 species
GACUGAAUAAUCGUGCCAGAUUGCAUAUGGAUGCUGUAAUAAAUUAUUGAAGACAUUUGGAAUAACAUUCCAUUUUUUCAACUUCCUGUUAACAUGAUGAUUUAGCAGCUUCACCGGAGCGAUGGAAAAGCCACUCUAUGUAUAGAACACUCUGGGUUAAAGUGAUGUUGAUCUUAUUCGGCUUAGACUUCAUCAUCAUGACGAUAAGUAGUUCCAGCAGAUGUGCUGCUACUACUACCAAGAAUGACUCCGCACGGUCCAAGCACCGGCGACGCAUCUUUCAAAUGUCUGCCUUAUCAACUGUCGAUGGUAGGUUUUGCGCCUACCAUGGUUGUAACGGGUAACGGGGAAUCAGGGUUCGAUUCCGGAGAGGGAGCCUGAGAAACGGCUACCACAUCCAAGGAAGGCAGCAGGCGCGCAAAUUACCCACUCCCGGCACGGGGAGGUAGUGACGAAAAAUAACGAUACGGGACUCAUCCGAGGCCCCGUAAUCGGAAUGAGCACACUUUAAAUCCUUUAACGAGUGCUCAUUCCGAUUACGGGGCCUCGGAUGAGUCCCGUAAUCGGAAUGAGCACACUUUAAAUCCUUUAACGAGUAUCCAUUGGAGGGCAAGUCUGGUGCCAGCAGCCGCGGUAAUUCCAGCUCCAAUAGCGUAUAUUAAAGUUGUUGCGGUUAAAAAGCUCGUAGUCGGACUUGUGUCUCACGCUGCCGGUUCACCGCCCGUCGGUGUCUAACUGGCAUGUUCGUGUGGACGUCCUGUUGGUGGCCUUUUCCGAGCUGUGUCCUUCGGAGUGUCUGGAUUCCGUCUGCCGCAAGGUGGAUUGGGCCUUCACUUCGUGGCGCGGUUAGGUGGGCCUAUUCGUACCCUUCGUGGUGCUCUUAGCCGAGUGUCUCGAUGGGCCGACACGUUUACUUUGAACAAAUUAGAGUGCUUAAAGCAGGCAGCAGCCGCCCGAAUACCGAGUGCAUGGAAUAAUGGAAUAGGACCUCGGUUCUAUUUUGUUGGUUUUCGGAAUCCCCGAGGUAAUGAUCAAUAGGGACAGACGGGGGCAUUCGUAUUGCGACGUUAGAGGUGAAAUUCUUGGAUCGUCGCAAGACGGACCGAAGCGAAAGCAUUUGCCAAGAAUGUUUUCUCUGAUCAAGAACGAAAGUUAGAGGUUCGAAGGCGAUCAGAUACCGCCCUAGUUCUAACCAUAAACGAUGCCAGCCAGCAAUCCGCCGAAGUUCCUCCGAUGACUCGGCGGGCGGCUUCCGGGAAACCAAAGCUUUUGGGUUCCGGGGGAAGUAUGGUUGCAAAGCUGAAACUUAAAGGAAUUGACGGAAGGGCACCACCAGGAGUGGAGCCUGCGGCUUAAUUUGACGCAACACGGGAAACCUCACCAGGCCCGGACAUAGGUACGAUUGACAGAUUGAUAGCUCUUUCUUGAUUCGGUGGGUGGUGGUGCAUGGCCGUUCUUAGUUGGUGGAGUGAUUUGUCUGGUUAAUUCCGAUAACGAACGAGACCUUGGCCUACUAACUAGUGUGGCCCCGCGUGGUAUCGCGUGGGUGCAUACUUCUUAGGGGGACGAUGGGCGUCUUCAUAGUUAGCCCAUGGAGGUUCGAGGCAAUAACAGGUCUGUGAUGCCCUUAGAUGUUCUGGGCUGCACGCGCGCUACAAUGACACAUGCAACGGGUUAUGGAGCAGCGAGAGUAGCUCCUUGAUCCCACAAUAUGUGUCGUGCUGGGGAUAGUCCAUUGCAAUUAUUGGACUUGAACGAGGAAUUCCUAGUAAGCGUGAGUCAUCAGCUCGCGUUGAUUACGUCCCUGCCCUUUGUACACACCGCCCGUCGCUACUACCGAUGAAUGGUUAAGUGAGGCCUUCGGAUUGGCCGACGCGUGUGGGUCACCGCAACGACGUUGGCCGAGAAGCUGGUCAAACUUGGCCGUUUAGAGGAAGUAAAAGUCGUAACAAGGUAACUGUAGG